CUCAUCGGUAGAGCGCUCGCUUAGCAUGCGAGAGGUGCAGGGUUCGACUCCCUGGUCCUCCA
rnacentral:tRNA from 1 species